CCCGGGCCUUGUACACACCGCCCGUCACACCACGAAAGCGAGCAACACCCGAAGCCGGUGGCCUAACCGCAAGGAGGGAGCCGUCGAAGGUGGGGCCCAUGAUUGGGGUG
rnacentral:rRNA from 1 species